rnacentral:rRNA from 1 species
GUGUCAGCAGCCGCGGUAAUACGGAGGAUGCAAGCGUUAUCCGGAUUCAUUGGGUUUAAAGGGUGCGCAGGCGGAAUGAUAAGUCAGUGGUGAAAUCCUACGGCUCAACUGUAGAACUGCCAUUGAUACUGUUGUUCUUGAGUACACUUGAAGUGGGCGGAAUGUGUCAUGUAGCGGUGAAAUGCUUAGAUAUGACAAGGAACACCGAUCGCGAAGGCAGCUCACUAAAGUGAAACUGACGCUCAGGCACGAAAGCGUGGGGAUCAAACAGGAUUAGAAACCCCGGUAGUCC